rnacentral:rRNA from 1 species
UACGGGGGGAGCAAGCGUUGUUCGGAUUUACUGGGCGUAAAGGGCGCGUAGGCGGCCUCCGCAAGUCAGUUGUGAAAUCUCCGAGCUUAACUCGGAAAUGUCAACUGAUACUGCGGGGCUAGAGUGCGGAAGGGGCAACUGGAAUUCUUGGUGUAGCGGUGAAAUGCGUAGAUAUCAAGAGGAACACCUGCGGCGAAGGCGGGUUGCUGGGCCGACACUGACGCUGAGGCGCGAAAGCUAGGGGAGCGAACGGG